GGAGGGUGCAAGCGUUAUCCGGAUUUAUUGGGUUUAAAGGGUCCGUAGGCGGACUUAUAAGUCAGUGGUGAAAGCCUGUCGCUUAACGAUAGAACUGCCAUUGAUACUGUAAGUCUUGAGUAUAUUUGAGGUAGCUGGAAUAAGUAGUGUAGCGGUGAAAUGCAUAGAUAUUACUUAGAACACCAAUUGCGAAGGCAGGUUACCAAGAUAUAACUGACGCUGAGGGACGAAAGCGUGGGGAGCGAACAGGAUUAGAUACCCUGGUAGUCCACGCCGUAAACGAUGCUAACUCGUUUUUGGGCUUUAGGGUUCAGAGACCAAGCGAAAGUGAUAAGUUAGCCACCUGGGGAGU
rnacentral:rRNA from 1 species